UACAGAGGGUGCGAGCGUUGUCCGGAAUCACUGGGCGUAAAGGGCGCGUAGGCGGCCCGGUAAGUUUGCGGUGAAAGCCCGGGGCUCAACCCCGGGUCGGCCGUGGCAACUGCUGGGCUGGAGCACAGUAGAGGCGAGUGGAAUUCCGGGUGUAGCGGUGGAAUGCGUAGAGAUCCGGAAGAACACCGGUGGCGAAGGCGGCCCGCUGGGCUGUUGCUGACGCUGAGGCGCGACAGCGUGGGGAGCAAACAGG
rnacentral:rRNA from 1 species